ensembl:lncRNA
AGGUGGAUUCUUUACCACUGCACCAUGUAGACUGGGUGGCUAAAGAACAGACAUUUAUUUCUCACUUAUCUGAAGACUGGGAAAUCCAAGAUCAAGAUGCCAGCCACUUCAGUUCCUGGAUCCGAAGACUCGGCUACUUAAGGUAACCACUGGAGAGGCUGGCGGUCGAGUCCAAGGAGGUGCCACAGAGAAACCGCACUGCAGUGUUCACCCAGCCAACCCAAGACCAUCAAUCAACCCCAAAGACAGAAAGAUGACCAAGGAGACUCGAGAAUUUGAAGAAGUUAACCCCAGGAAUCUUGGCCCUGCCAUGCCAUGACCUCUCAGGUACAGAACUCAAGCUGGAAGUAGCAGCAGGAGAGGGCUGUGGAGAGAUUCUACUGCUCCAGUAAACUAAUUCCAAAGAGAAAAAAGAUUCCCUUCCAGUGUUAUUGUGAAAACUCUUCUGGAAGGACUCAGAUGGGCCCAGCCUGGAUCUCCCAUACCUACUGAUUAGAUCCACCCUACAGAAAAGAAAGGAGAAACAUAGAGAAAAAUACAGAGUUCAUUUACUCUGUAGUUAAUGCUCUGUCUGCUAGGUAUCAAAAUUUCUAGCAUCAGGGUCUUUUCAAAUGUCAGUUCUUCACAUCAGGUGGC